GUGUGUGUGUCUAUGUGUGUGUCUGUCUCUCUGUGUCUCUGUCUCUGUCUCUCAGGUCACUUACAGAGAUCUUGUUUGAACGGUCACUGAUGACACAAUCAGAUUGUGCUAAAUUCAGACUCAUCAAGUGCUCCUUGUCACUCGUGUGCCACACGGCUGGGGUAUCCGGGUGACGACAGGGCCCAGCUACUAACGCUCUUGCUCUCCGCCCAGAUCUCAGUCUGACUCAUCAGCCCAGUGACCUGGGAAAGGAAGGCCCACACACGUGUCAGGUGCCUGCUGCACCCUGUGCUGAGCCUCCGACAUGGGAUGUCCAUGAUCCUCCCUGCAGCCCAGCCACAGAUGAAGGACUGGGACCCAGAGGCUCUCGGGACCUGACCCAGGAGACCAGAGCUGGGAACCUGACCAGCCUUGGGUGCUCCUGUCCCCCUCCCAGCUCCCCCUGAGGCUCGUUUUGCACAUCUUGAAGAAGCAUAGACAAUCUUCACCACUCUUCCUAAAAACACACACACGGGGAUCAGGUUCCAAGUGCGGUCCUCACGGAAGCCCUUUGAUGUCCUGGUGCCUGGAACCCUCCAUAGGGAGCGACCUCAGAGACUCUGGACCAAACGCCACAGGGAGUGAGGAGCCCUGUUCUGCAUGUGCAGCUUCCGUGCAUGUGGGCAGGACCACCUAGCCAUUUGCUGGCCAAGCUAAAAACGCCCGUGCCUCGACAAACUCACUCAGUCCUCAGAGAAAACAGAAGCCCUGCUCCCCUGAGUGGAGAAGAAAGGAAGGAUUUCUGAACAGCCAAAAAAACAUCCUCCCGGUAAGCACCCAGCAGCUACUUGCCUUCUUUGUAUUUGUAGGUGGGAACUGUAGGCGCAGAGAGACAGAUGAUGUUGCCUAAGGCCACAGAGGUGGCAAACGGGAGGUCUGUGUGAUCAUUAGUCUGGAACUUCUUGUAGUUUAUCACACCAGUGACCUUUCUCUGCACGAUUUUAAAUCCUACUAAUGCAGCCGACAAAGACUGGCAUGGAGAUGCUAGACCCUUUCAGAGUCUCCCAUGGAUAAGUGGCCUUCUGAAAUUACCCUGUCCCGCAGAGGGAUGCGGUCUUUGGAAAG